UGCGAUGAGUCGAGUAUAACCGGAUGAUCAUUUGAUCAUUGCGUGCUUGCGCCUAGCGGUUUGUUCGAUACGGGGCACUUUUUACUGCCGGAUGCAGCGUGUCUGAACUAAGACAUUGUGGAGU
rnacentral:ncRNA from 1 species